CCUACGGGUGGCAGCAGUGGGGAAUAUUGGACAAUGGGGGCAACCCUGAUCCAGUCAUGCCGCGUGUGUGAAGAAGGCCCUCGGGUUGUAAAGCACUUUCAGUGAGGAAGAACGCCUGGUGGUUAAUACCCAUCAGGAAAGACAUCACUCACAGAAGAAGCACCGGCUAACUCCGUGCCAGCAGCCGCGGUAAUACGGAGGGUGCGAGCGUUAAUCGGAAUUACUGGGCGUAAAGCGCGCGUAGGUGGCUUGAUAAGCCGGUUGUGAAAGCCCCGGGCUCAACCUGGGAACGGCAUCCGGAACUGUCAAGCUAGAGUGCAGGAGAGGAAGGUAGAAUUCCCGGUGUAGCGGUGAAAUGCGUAGAGAUCGGGAGGAAUACCAGUGGCGAAGGCGGCCUUCUGGACUGACACUGACACUGAGGUGCGAAAGCGUGGGUAGCAAACAGGAUUAGAUACCCCUGUAGUC
rnacentral:rRNA from 1 species